UACGUAGGGUGCAAGCGUUGUCCGGAAUUACUGGGCGUAAAGAGCUCGUAGGUGGUUUGUCGCGUCUGCUGUGAAAUCUCCGGGCUUAACUCGGAACGGCCAAGUGAAACUGUCAAGCUAGAGUGCAGAAGGGGCAAUCGGAAUUCUUGGUGUAGCGGUGAAAUGCGUAGAUAUCAAGAGGAACACCUGAGGUGAAGACGGGUUGCUGGGCUGACACGUGACGCUGAGGCGCGAAAGCCAGGGGAGCAAACGGG
rnacentral:rRNA from 1 species